rfam:Oryza sativa Japonica Group DNA, chromosome 8, cultivar: Nipponbare, complete sequence.
AAUAAGUGCAGCCGUGGAUAUCCGUGUCCAACGUUUGACCGUAUGUCUUAUUUGAAAAUUUUGAAAAUAUUUAGUCACACAUAAAAUAUUAUUCAUAUUUUAUCAUCUAAUAGCAAUAAAAAUACUAAUUAUAAAAAGUUUUCAAAUAAGACGAACGAUCAAACGUUGAACGUGAAUAGUGCAAAACUGCACUUAUU